rnacentral:rRNA from 12 species
CCAAGGGUUGGGCUGUUCGCCCAUUAAAGUGGCACGCGAGCUGGGUUCAGAACGUCGCAAGACAGUUCGGUCUCUAUCUGUUGUGGGCGUAGGAAUAUUGAGAAGAUUUGACUCUAGUACGAGAGGACCGAGUUGAACAAACCUCUAGUGUAUCUGUUGUCCAGCCGUGGGCAUUGCAGAGUAGCUAUGUUUGGAAUGGAUAAGCGCUGAAAGCAUCUAAGCGCGAAGCCAACUUCAAGAUGAGUAUUCCAUGAAGGGACGUUAAAGAUGAUGACGUAGAUAGGUUGCAGGUGGAAGCGUAGCGAUAUGUUAGGGAGCCGAGCAAUACUAAUGACCCGAAAGCUU